rnacentral:lncRNA from 1 species
CCUUUUCUUUUUACUUCUUAGAACAGCAAGUAUUUGUCAAGAAGAUCUAUGAGAAAUAGCCUCACAGGCACCUUAAAAAUAAGAAUUUUCCUAGCAUGAAAUGGUGCCUUUUGUGGAAAGAUAAGAAUCAAGCCAGUCAUAUGGGCUGCUUUCUGUAGGAGUCAUGUAAG